AUUGAACGCUGGCGGAAUGCUUUACACAUGCAAGUCGAACGGUAGAGGGGGCAACCCCUUGAGAGUGGCGAACGGGUGAGUAAUAUAUCGGAACGUGCCCAGUCGUGGAGGAUAACGUAGCGAAAGCUACGCUAAUACCGCAUACGAUCUACGGAUGAAAGCGGGGGAUCGCAAGACCUCGCGCGAUUGGAGCGGCCGAUAUCAGAUUAGGUAGUUGGUGAGGUAAAGGCUCACCAAGCCGACGAUCUGUAGCUGGUCUGAGAGGACGACCAGCCACACUGGGACUGAGACACGGCCCAGACUCCUACGGGAGGCAGCAGUGGGGAAUCUUGGACAAUGGGCGAAAGCCUGAUCCAGCAAUGCCGCGUGCGUGAAGAAGGCCUCGGUUGUAAGCGCUUUGUCUGGAGCGAAAUCCUGGCCUCUAAUACAGUCGGGAGUGAGAGUACCAGAAGAAUAAGG
rnacentral:rRNA from 1 species